rnacentral:sRNA from 1 species
UAGUUGUUACGAUCCGAUACGUCGCCUG